rfam:Glarea lozoyensis 74030 unplaced genomic scaffold M7I_scaffold1, whole genome shotgun sequence.
GCCCUCGUAGCUCAAUGGUAGAGCGCGUCACUAGUAAUUCCACACUCACGUGAGAUCACGUGAUGACGAGGUUGCCGGUUCGAUUCCGUCCGAGGGCA